GCCCGGAUGGUGAAAUUGGUAGACACACAGUGUUCAGAACGCUGCGGGAGUAAUCCCAUGGGGGUUCAAAUCCCCCUCCGGGCA
rnacentral:tRNA from 2 species